UCAGUUCGCGAGGAGCGCUCGUAUCGCGCAGUUAGUUUUCCCGUGUCGCUCUAGAUGAUCGAUCACGUGGGAAAGCCUGCGCUGGGUUCUCGUGAUAUCGAGGCGAGAAAGGGCCGAGGGGUUGGGAAUAAAUGUGCGCGCGUCCGUAAUGGACAACCCUAGUGGCGGAAGAGACAAUCGGUACGCGGGACUCGGUUACAGCAUGGGUAUGAUGGGGGGCGACGCUGGUACAGAGAUGUACGGACGACCGUCCACCUCUCAACUUGCAACUUCUCAAAUAGGCCGUGGUGGCGCCACCAUGAUGGCGACCGGCGCCACGACGCCCGGCAUCGGGGUGCAAAGGGGUGUGAAACGCUCCUCGGACGUCUGCUACGAGGACAACCCGAGACAGCCCAUCUCGCAGGGACAGAUGAUGCAAGACUGUGUUCCUGAGAACAUGGACGAGUCCUUCACGAAUUUGGGACAACCGAAAAAAUCGCCACCCUCCAAUGGCAAAAAGACCAAGGGAAGGGUCAAGAUCAAGAUGGAAUACAUUGACAACAAACUCAGGAGGUACACCACCUUCUCCAAGAGGAAGACAGGCAUUAUGAAGAAGGCCUACGAGCUUUCGACCCUGACAGGCACUCAGGUGAUGCUUCUCGUGGCGAGUGAAACUGGCCACGUCUAUACUUUCGCGACGCGAAAGCUCCAGCCGAUGAUAACGAGUGAGGCUGGCAAGGCGCUGAUCCAGACUUGUCUGAACAGUCCGGAUCCGCCGCCCUCGGGUUCUUCCGGAGACCAGCGAAUGUCAGCGACCGGCUUCGAGGAAACGGAACUGACGUACAACAUCGCCGACGAGGAGCAGAAAGAGGACGCAGCUUCCCCGAGGUCGGACAUCUGUGGCAACGAUAGCGAAGGGGAUAACGAUAGUGACGUGGAAUCGCCUGUGUCGAAAGACUCGAAGAACCACACAGGGAUGCCUUCCUUUUCGGCGGGAAUAAUGUACCAAAUGCCUCAGAACGUCGUUUAUUCGCCAAGUCCUGGAGUUUUGCUCAGUAUUGGUCAAAAUGGUCAACCCGUUCAAAUUUCACAAGAUGGGGGGACAUCAUCUGUAAAUUCUGCACAAGCCAAUCACCCAUUCAUCACGAUUCCUCUAAACGUAGCAAUGACUGCCGCCGGACUCUCUAUGCCGGUCACAUCGAAAUCAUUGUCUCCACCACGUUCCCUCACGUGUACUCCGAAUUCUGAUUUACCUUCGGACCUUAGCAAGGAUCGAAAGUGAAGUGAUAUAUAACAUAAAUAUAUAUAUAUUAUUAUAAUUUUCAAAUUUAAUUCACAAAGGCAAGUUAAAGCCAAGCUUCAUCGAAUCAUCAGCAAUCAUCGCAGGAAGCCAAGAUACUGAAAUCCUUCUUCGAUUCAUCGAAUAGACUGGAAAAGCAAUAAUUAACAACUGAAUUUAAUCAAGAUUCGGUUUCGAAUUAAUGAAAAGCUUCUAGGUUCAGAUUUUUAUGUACUUUCAGUAUUUUGAGACUCUCACAGAGCGCCUUUCCCACCAAGCGCCUCUUCUCGCCAAGUGCCUCUCUCUUCCAUUUCUUCUAAAUUAAGUAGGCGCCUUUAGUGCGGCGUUAGAUGCGCAUGCGCGAGCCGAUACUCAAAUAAUCCGCCAAUGCGUCUCAAGAGAUAUUUCCCGUCAAGCCGAAAGGGCGUGGCUUAAACCAAGCGGGCGCUUAGUGAGCACCUCGGUCCUGAGCACCUGGCGCUUGUACCGGAAAUGUUAAUCACGACGGAUCUUUUUUCCCAUUUUCGAAAGCAGGAACUGUCGUCGUCUUCCUGUAUGUAAUCGAGAAAAUAAAAACUCGAGGGAAUAAUCCCGUAUGGUGAAAGUGCAUUGACUUAAAAAUAACCCCCGCUGCGCUAAUUUCGGAUCCAAAGCAAGAUAACUUCUCUGCCACUCCAAAGAGCUUUACUAGUUAUCCCGGAGAAGUCUCUGGGAGAAAUAUAAUUCUGCUUUUCUACGCUCUGCUCGAAAUUAGAAUUCUAAAGGAAUUUUAAAUUUCCAAAAAUAUUCUAAAUUCAUUUUUCCUAUUUUAAAAAUGGUUAGGCUUUAGAAAUUUGUCGGAACAAUGAUUUACUAAGUAAUUUCUUUAUUUUAAUACAAAUUUGAUCACUUUUUUUAUAAGAAAAUUUUUUUUCUAUCUGUAUAAUAAUACUAAAAUGAAGAGGGUGGCACAGGAUCGAAAAAACCGGGAAAUGAGAGUAAAUUUACUUUUUACAUCACUAGUUUUAUACAUUUUUAGAAUAUAAAUCUAUUCAAUCACUUGAAACUUUUUUUUAAAUAUUAGGUUUGAAGAAACUGAAAAUUUUGGAUAAAAACUUUUUAAGUUGAUCUAGUGACCCAGUGUUAAAAAUUGAAUAAUUUAUUUUAUAAGACGAUUCUUAAUCUGUUUUAAAUCAAACGAUUUACAAAUUUGUACGCUAAAAGUUGAAUUUUUUUAUUCGAUUAUUGUUUUUUAAAAAGAAAAACGU